UACAGAGGGUGCGAGCGUUAAUCGGAAUUACUGGGCGUAAAGCGCACGUAGGCGGCUUGGUAUGUCGGGUGUGAAAUCCCCGGGCUCAACCUGGGAACUGCAUCCGAAACUGCCUUGCUCGAGUAUGGGAGAGGGAAGUGGAAUUUCCGGUGUAGCGGUGAAAUGCGUAGAUAUCCAGAGGAACACCGGUGGCGAAGGCGGCUUCCUGGGCCGAAACUGACGCUGAGGAGCGAAAGCAUGGGUAGCAAACAGG
rnacentral:rRNA from 1 species